rnacentral:rRNA from 1 species
UACGUAGGGGGCAAGCGUUAUCCGGAUUUAUAGGGCGUAAAGGGAACGCAGGCGGUCUUUUAAGUCUGAUGUGAAAGCCUUCGGCUUAACCGGAGUAGUGCAUUGGAAACUGGGAGACUUGAGUGCAGAAGAGGAGAGUGGAACUCCAUGUGUAGCGGUGAAAUGCGUAGAUAUAUGGAAGAACACCAGUGGCGAAAGCGGCUCUCUGGUCUGUAACUGACGCUGAGGUUCGAAAGCGUGGGUAGCAAACAGG